UGAGGAGCAUGCGAUUGAGAGGCCGAUGGCGCAACGAAUAGAAGAAAGAGGACUCGCACCGUAUGACGCGGCGCUCCAACGACGACGAAAGGGACCGCGACGGGUCACGGAGCAGAAAUGGCCAAUAAUAUUUUAUUUACAUUUUAUUCGUUUAACGUCGUUAUCGCAGAGAUAUGUAAACACUCGCGAUAACACGAGCAAUGAGCAUACAAGAUAACGCAAAAACUUUUACGUAUACAGCCAAUUCGAACGGAUAUAUUUUAACUCGAAUGUUUCGAUCAGAGUUUGGAGGCAGUGCUGUCCCAACGUAUGGACACGCUAGCCCAGGAACCCCAUGCUAAUCUAUAGUACGUGUAACACAUGUCUGGUACGAGUACAUGUUGUAGUCAUAAAAGUGAUAAAUAUCAGUUUAGACAUGGUCCUCGUAAUGCUAUUAAGACGGUCCCGAGCUUAGAAUGUUUAGAAUUCUAGAAAAAUGGAAACGCGAACACGAACAACUAAUAUAAUUGAUAUUUCACGCUAUAGUCGCUAGAGUCACCACGUCCACUACGAAUCAAAUUAACAGAGAUUAAUGUAUCCGUUAACGCGAUCGAAAGUUUCUCUUUCGUUCUGUAUUCGAUGUAUUUUAUCCGGAUGAGAAUUUGUCUCGUCUCUACCUUUGGCUAGCGACCGAUGAAUCGAGUAUCGAUUCAUGUACGAUUCAUCGGUUCGAGCGCAACGAGAGAAAAUGUAAGAAAACAAAAGGACACGAAACGAAGACGAACAUCGAAACAGGGUUUUCGAGUUUGAAGGAAGCGACGAUUGGUUCUUUGCGCGUUAAACGUGCAUUAUCUAUCGACACUCUGUUCAACUCGAAUAUUUUAAGAAAGUAGGACACGACAACGCUUGGUGGCGAACAGCGGGGGAUAGAGGGGUGAGUUGGGAAGGGGACUGUGGUGAGCGGGAGGGCGGGGGUGGUGGGUGGGGGUCUGAGACUCGAGGAAGCGGGGGUUACGUCGGAGUUUAUAAAGAAUCAUUACGUUCCCGUGAAAGGUGGCUUUAAUUUCAGUGGCAUUCCAAUCGCAUUAACGUAUAUAUUCCCCCAUACAUUUGUGUUCGCGGUAAGCGACAAUUUACUCGGAGCGUUUUACUCGAACGAGGCUGUUACGCGAUCGAACCACGGUCGUGUGUAUAACGGCCGCCGCGAUAAAUACAAUUUUAACGACGAUCCCUCGAGCGAUCUCCUCCGGAGAAAACUAACUUGUAACCCGUGUGUAUCGUUCGAGGUUCUUGGCGAGCGUACACUUGUUUCUUCUGCCACUGGAAUUUCUUGCCAUCCUUGGCCCACGGAGGAUGGUAAAGAACGAAAGCAGGAAGGAAUGUUCUCAACGAUCCGUAAACAGGAGAGACGAGGACGGACCGAAAUCACUCGAGAUGUACGGAAUUAUUUUCGCUUGACAUCAACAGAGCGCAGCAAGCAACCGAAAGGCAUGAGAAAACGAUCGAUAGGCGGGGAGGACAGGGAGUCGCGAGAAUGGUUUUAACAAACAAUCCGCACAGCCGCUCGCGGGCCGAAUCGAUAUUCCUUCACGGGACAGUCGCAAACGUUUCUACGACCCAGAAAACGAAAAAGUCGUUCCAUGCAUUUUUCGUUCGACCAUCAACAAACUCGUUGCAACUACAACAAAAAAAGAUCAUUUCUAUUUCAUCUUUUUGCACUAUAAUUGUUUUCUUAAUUCUGCCAAGUGGUAAGAAUGAAAGAGCGAGUAUGAAAACGAGGCCUGGAAUUUCGAUUCAAGAUGAUACAAAGUAAAAAUAGAUGGCGAGAAACGCAUAGGAUAGGCAUUAGCGGAAUCGUAUGAAAGUGUAGAUGUUUGGGUUUACGAAAGUAUCGAGUGUCCGGGCGAAGAAAGCGAAGAAGCACACGCGUAAUCGAAUAUUUAGAAAUGGAUCUGUCAUUGGUAAAACAGAGUCGACCGGGAACAAACUAAGAAAACAAUUAUACAACUAUCGGUAUUAUUAUUAUUAUUUUGUCUUUCGUAGUACGAUUGAUUAAAACUAUAAUUCUCUCGCGCAGAGUCCAGACCUUGUCCCAUUCGAUUAUCGUCUCUCGCGAGCAAUGGCGCACUUUUUGAGCGGGAGAUGAUUCAUCAAGUGUGACGUCAUCAAGCAUGGAUGCGCGUAGUUUUUUCCAUCCAAAGAACCGGCAUGAUGAUGCAAAGGAAUGCGAUUGCUUUCAGAACGAUGACAGAAUAUCAUUAAUCAUUGUGCUUGAAAUUAUGUUUUGUUGUAGAUAUCAAUUAAUAAAGCCGUGAUUUCGAAAUGCGCAAUAUUUUCCGAGUCGUGGCAUUGUACAGGAUCGUUCUAAAACCUAGGACAAGCUCUGACUUUUUCUUUUUAAACGAGGAUAUAAAUAACCUAUGGCAAGGGAAAAUGGAAUCUAAAAGUUGAAAAGCGGAAUCUAUCUUGGAACAUUUUCUUAAUCGAUCUUUCAAGUCGGUGUAUUUCGAAUUUAAACGAGAAUAGUAGGAUAAAUAUAUUUCGUUAUGAAAUUGUUGUUAAAAAUUGUGAGUCUCGAUAUCGCGUAUUCGCGUAACCGUAAGCCAAUGUGUUACACGUAAAGAUUGUAGUCGAGGUGAGGAUUAUUAGUUCGGUCCGAGGAACGUAAUUAGU